rnacentral:rRNA from 1 species
GAUCCUGGCUCAGAUUGAACGCUGGCGGCAUGCUUUACACAUGCAAGUCGAACGGCAGCGCGGGCUUCGGCCUGGCGGCGAGUGGCGAACGGGUGAGUAAUACAUCGGAACGUGCCCAGUAGUGGGGGAUAGCUCGGCGAAAGCCGGAUUAAUACCGCAUACGACCUGAGGGUGAAAGCGGGGGAUCUUCGGACCUCGCGCUAUUGGAGCGGCCGAUGGCAGAUUAGCUAGUUGGUGGGGUAAAGGCCUACCAAGGCGACGAUCUGUAGCUGGUCUGAGAGGACGACCAGCCACACUGGGACUGAGACACGGCCCAGACUCCUACGGGAGGCAGCAGUGGGGAAUUUUGGACAAUGGGCGAAAGCCUGAUCCAGCAAUGCCGCGUGUGUGAUGAAGGCCUUCGGGUUGUAAAGCACUUUUGGCGGGAACGAAAGGGACUGUGCCAAUACCACGGUUCGAUGACGGUACCCGCAGAAUAAGCACCGGCUAACUAC